AUGCUACUCACCGUACCAUUAUUGAUCUUAUGGAUACAGCUGUCACAGCUGAAUGGACAAGAGGUAAAGCAAAUUCCUCAGUUCCUGCACAUACAGGAAGGAGAGGACUUCAGCACAUACUGCAAUUCCACAAGCACUUUAAACACUGUACAGUGGUAUAAGCAGCGGCCCGGGGGAAGCCCUGUCCUCCUGAUGAUAUUAGUGAAGAGUGGAGAAGUGAAGAAGGAGAAAAGACUGACAGCUCAGUUUGGAGAAACAAGAAAGGACAGCUCCCUGCACAUCACAGCCGCCCAGACUGCAGAUGUGGGGACCUACUUCUGCGCAGUGGCACAGUGCUCCCCAAGCACCUGUUGCCUGUCCCCAAACCUUGCCCUGGGACCUAGGAGCAGCCCCUCUCACUCUCUCCUCAGAGCAGGAGCCAGAGAAAGUUGA